UACGAUUUGAUAUUCAUCAUUGGUGGAAUUAUCGGGAGUCUGGCUCUUCUCCUCGUCAUUGUACUGGCAGUGGUGUGGUGUCAAAGAAGGCGCAAGCCUACAGAUACAGAGGAAGGUAUUCACUAUGGAUCCAUCUCCUUCCAGCCUAAAGCAACUGGUGGCAGCAGCGAUAAUACACUGUCCUCCAAUCAAGCAUCAGGCAUU